rnacentral:tRNA from 2 species
GCUGGAGUAGCUCAAUCGGUAGAGCAACUGACUUGUAAUCAGUAGGUUGCGGGUUCAAGUCCCAUCUCCAGCUCCA